ACACGCACGCACACAGCGCCGCUCGGACACACACACGCAGCAGCGCCGCGUACCUCCUCGCAAACGCCCGCGCCCGCCGCCGCCGCGGCUUGGCCCCGCCUCCCGUGCCAGAUCCUCUCCGGUGACGGCCCCCUCCUGCGGCGGCCCCCUCCAGCAGCGACGGGGUGCCUCCGGUGCCAACGUCCCCUCCGGCAAUGGAGUUGCAGAGCCCCCUUCGGGACGGCCCCCUUCAGUGACGGAGUGCCUCCGGUGGCAGCAUCCCCUACGGCGACGGAGCGCCUCCAGUGGCAGCACCCUCUCCUACGUCAGCCAUCGGUGGUGUAGCAGCCAUGCAGGGGACUUGUUAGGUCGCUGGAACCGGGUGCGGUGGCCACGGUGACAAGACUCCUCCAGGAAGAGUGACCGGCGAGGCUGCAAUCCCCAGCAACCCAACCCCACGGAUGCAUGGCUUUGAGGCACCAUGGGCCGGCGAGUUCUCUAUAAGGUGCGUCCCAUCUCAGGUGCUUAUAACCAGUGCACUAAUUGAAGGCACUAAGUUAAGUGAAGCCGUGUGAUGCAUUUGAAGGGAUGACAGUGAUGAUAUCGAGGACGAGGAUGAUAUUGAUGAUGUGUGAUGCAUUUGAAGGAAAAUAAUUUUGGCCCCUAGGUUGAAAUAAAAUAAUUUUGGCUAGUUGACCUUGAGCUAUGUAUGUGCUGACUGCUGGAACUUAUGUUAGUUGGCUAUAACUUAUGAAGUAUUGUAUUUUAUUAAUGUAAUUGUGUUGGAGACUUUGUAAUAUGCUUGGAGUGCAAGUGGUGGACACUUUGUGAUAUGUCUGGACUGAAAUUAGUUGAAUAUAUGAAUGUAUUGAAAUCUGAUUUGGAUU